rnacentral:rRNA from 1 species
GACGAACGCUGGCGGCGUGCUUAACACAUGCAAGUCGAACGGAAAGUCCCUGCUUUUGUGGUGUGCCCGAGUGGCGAACGGGUGAGUAACACGUGAGUAGCCUCCCCUUGACUACCGGAUACCUUCAGGAAGCUGGGGCUUAUAACCGAUUGGUGCUCCUGCUGAAUGGUGGGGGUUGGAAAGUUUCGGCGGUUGGGGAUGGACUCGUGGCUUAUCAGCUUGGUGUGGAGGUAGUGGCUUACCAAGGCGUUGACGGGUAGGCGGGCUGAGAGGGUGACAGGACACAUUGGGUCGGAGAUACGACACAGACUCAUACGCGAGGCAGCAGUGGAGAAGAUAACAUAAUGCGCGGAGGCAUGAUGCAGCGACGCCGCGUGCGGGAAGUCGGCCAUCGGGUUGGUAACCGCUGUCGCCUGAGAAGAAGCGAGAGUGACGGUAAUGGAGAAAGAAGCACCGGCUAACUACGUG